UUUCCGUAGGUGAACCUGCGGAAGGAUCAUUACUGAGUGAGGGCCCUCUGGGUCCAACCUCCCACCCGUGUUUAUUAUACCUUGUUGCUUCGGUGAGCCCGCCUCACGGCCGCCGGGGGGCAUCUGCCCCCGGGCCCGCGCCCACCGAAGACACCUAGAACUCUGUAUGAAGAUUGCAGUCUGAGCAAAAACCAAAUAAGUUAAAACUUUCAACAACGGAUCUCUUGGUUCCG
rnacentral:misc_RNA from 1 species